rnacentral:rRNA from 1 species
UAAAAUUAUUUUAUAUAAUAUAUUAGAAAUGAAAUGUUAUUCGUUUUUAAAGGUAUCUAGUUCUUUAAGAAAUAAAUUUAAUUUAAAAAUUUUAUAUUAUUUAUUUAAAUAUAUUAAUUAAAUAAUUAUUUAAUUUUAAUAUUUUAUGGGAUAAGCUAUAGGAUAAAAUUUUAAAAAUUAUUAAUAAUAUUAAUAAAUAUAAACUUAUAAAUAGUUAUUAUUAAUAAAAAUGUUAUAAUUUAUUUUUUAUAUAUAUAUAUAUAGAUAUUAUUUAUUUGUAUUUUAAAUUUUUAUUGAAGUAUUUAUUUUAUUUUUAAAAAUAAAAUAAUAAUGAUAAAAUUAGUAUAUAUAGUGUGUAUUAUAUAUAUAUAUAUAUAUAUAUUAUAUAUGAUAAGUUUUUAUAAAGAAUUUGGCAAAAAUAAUAUUCGCCUGUUUAACAAAAACAUGUCUUUAUGAAUUUUUUAUAAAGUCUAACCUGCCCACUGAAAUUUUUAAUUUAAAUGGCUGCAGUAUUUUGACUGUACAAAGGUAGCAUAAUAAUUAGUCUUUUAAUUGAAGGCUGGUAUGAAUGGUUGGACGAAAUAUUAACUGUUUCAUAAAAAUUUUUAUUAGAAUUUUAUUUUUUAGUUAAAAAGCUAAAAUUUAUUUAAAAGACGAGAAGACCCUAUAAAUCUUUAUAUUUAAAUUAUAUUAAUUUUUAAGAAUUAUUAUAUUAUUAUAAUUAAUAAUAUUUUAUUGGGGUGAUAUUAAAAUUUGAUUAACUUUUUUUUUAUCUUAACAUUAAUUUAUGAAUAAUUGAUCCAAUAUUAUUGAUUAAUAAAAUAAGUUACUUUAGGGAUAACAGCGUAAUUUUAUUGGAGAGUUCUUAUUAAUAAUAAAGAUUGCGACCUCGAUGUUGGAUUAAGAUAUAAUUUUAGGUGUAGAAGCUUAAAUUUUAAGUCUGU